rnacentral:rRNA from 1 species
UACGGAGGAUCCAAGCGUUAUCCGGAAUCAUUGGGCUUAAAGGGUCCGUAGGCGGUUUUGUAAGUCAGUGGUGAAAGCCCAUCGCUCAACGGUGGAACGGCCAUUGAUACUGCAAGACUUGAAUUAUUGGGAAGUAACUAGAAUAUGUAGUGUAGCGGUGAAAUGCUUAGAGAUUACAUGGAAUACCAAUUGCGAAGGCAGGUUACUACCAAUAUAUUGACGCUGAUGGACGAAAGCGUGGGGAGCGAACAGG